UCAGGUAUAGAUUUGUUUCUCUCACUAUACCAUUAUUUUAAAAUUUAACAGUUUCAACUCGAUUGAGUAUGGAAAUCAAUCUUUACAGCUUCCCGUGCUUUGCUCCUGUGAAAUAAACAUCUCACCAAAAACAUAAAAUGUAGUAAUACCUUAAAAUUACAAAAGAACUAUCUAAAUGCCUAAUUAGUAAGUUAGAAAAUUCUUAUAUGUUUUACUCAAAAUGGGGGAGGAAUUUUAUUCAUAUAAGAAAUAUAUUUCUAAAGAAAGUAACUUUUCAUUUAAAUAUCAAUUUAGACUUGAAACCAGAAUCGGAAUUUAAAGGAUCAUCAGACAGAAGCAAAGAAAGUUUUGCUAAAAGAUAUCUGGGACAGGUAUAGAAAAUUGAUAUUGAAAUUUCUGAUUUUUCAUUUCAGUACAUGUAUAUUUUAUGUGCAUUUGAAUGUGUUUUUAGGAACUCAGUGCCCUUUGAAGUGUAUUUUUGUCUCAUUUGUGGAGGUGAAAUUUUCUUGGAAGUUAGCAGGACUAACAGCAAAACUUGAGCCUUUGUUGGGUAACAACCCACUAAAGAGGUGUCCCUUGAUAGUAUUGAUAGGGUUGAUGCUGACAUUUUUGCACCUUUCUAAUAUGAUAAGGAAACCAACUUAAACUACUUAAUUAUAUGAUGAUUUUCCCUUUAGUAGUCAAAAUAAUUGUGAUAACAUAAUUACCAUGCAUCUGGAUUCAUGUAACUUUAUUCUAAACUUUAUUGUCCAAUGGCAAAAUAAUCAUCUGAAAUUUCAAUGUCUAGAAAUGUAUGUUAUUUGAGAAAAAUAUCAGUGUGUAGAAGUGUUAAUAUAUGGUAUUAAAACAUGCCAUAAUAAUAAAAUCUUAGCAUUGAUGAUCAAUGUUAAUCUAAUUUAUCUUUAUCCCAAAUAACAAAUCUUCUCUGCAGUAUCUCCCAAAAGUAGUUCAAAUGUUUUUGUGACUGAAAAGUUACUACCCAAGUAAAGUGGCCAGCUUUCUAUUUGAAUGGCUCUAAUUGUUGGGGUUGUUUUCUUAUUAAGAAUUGUAACUGACCUUUCUACAAUUUUCAGGAAGGGGUACCAUUGACAUAACUUACAAGAUUAAGCUGAACAAAUCCAGCUCUUUCCCUACGUUCUAAGCCCCUAAUUACUUGAUGACUAUUACCCUGGAAUCCUUUGAAUGGUUUUCCUUGUAAUUAAGUUAUCCCUCCUUGCUUAGCAGUUUUACCUGUGCUAUGAAUAAUGGAUGACCUCUAAGGUCUCUUUUAUUCCUCUGAAAUACCCAUUUCUCUUGUCCUAUCUAAACAUAAUAAUACAGAUGUGUUUUUACCAAGACAGGAUAGAAGCCUGUCAUGUCUCAGUAAGGAUGCUGUCCUUCUUUUGUUGUUAUGGAAGCCAUAUCAUUUUGAAAUUAUGGCACAAUAACAAAUAGUUAGAGCUUUUGUUUCAGGAGACUUUUGAUGAAACAUUUUACUCCAGUGUGUGCAUACUGUGUACAGCUAAUUAUUUUGUUGCAACAGGUAUACACCUGUUGCAUCCAAUAAAAAAGGGAAAUGGCAAAAUUCAUUAUGUUUAAUCAGGAAAGAGUUAAUGAAAGAGGUAAUAAUUGGGGCUUAAUAAUAAUGGUGUCAUAUUUUGAUUGGCAGAAAGGAAGGAGGAAAACCUUCCAGGAGAGAGGAUAGGCAGAAGAAAGUAAGGAUGCUUGCAAGUAAUGUAAACUUUGAUGUUUAACUAAAAUAGAAGACCUGUCAUAAGAACAUAAAUUAUUUUCUGAAGGAAAGAUAGUGUGGAGAAUCACUGUCAUUUCUUAUGCAGUAUAAUAAUCAUUUGAAACAUAUUUUAAGAAAGCUCUUUGAAAAAAUGAUUUGUAAUAUAUUAUGAAAUAGAAUCAUGACAAUCAUAAGGAUAAUAUCCUGAGUUAGAAUUUUAUCAUUACUUACAAGUUUAUCCUUUUCUGUAUGAAAAAAGUAUAUCCCAGGCUUCAGCACUCUGUUUGCCAGAGUUGUCUCUCUCUAAAGAAAAAAAGAUCGAAGAGUAAACUUGGAAUGUGUAAGCAAGAGGUUCUUCUUUUGAAGAAAAUGUUAUAAAAACAUUUUGUUUCCUGUAGAAACCUAAUUUCCCUCAAAGUGGAAAUUCUUCACAAUUUAUCAGCAGAAAACUUUCAGGAUGGCUUUCAUCAGUGGUCUUGCUAACUAUUUUGUUGUUUUCACUGAUCAGCAUGCUCCUAGAAGUAUUCUGGAAAGAGUGACAAGAUUUAUACGUGCAUGGAGAAAUAAAAAGAUCAAAUGCAGUAUUUCUUUGGGACAACAUGAAGGUCACCAGAGGAGAAAUUCUAAUGGGAAGCCUAUUCAACCCACUCUUCAAAUGAAAGGUUUUUUCACAAACCAAGAAGUAGGAAAAGGAGUUGAAAAACGAAAAGUUGAUGCUUCGAAAUGGGAUUCUCCAAGUACGUCUCAGAAAAAUGAGAGUCCCAGAAAUUCCAAUGAUUUGACAUUUCAAAAGAAUUAUUCUUGCAAGUCACUGCAAAGUAAAGAUCAGUUAGCACCCACAGAAUUUGGAAAGAUUGCAAUAAAAGAAAAUGAAGCAUCUGCAGCUGAAGCUGGAAGUGGGCCUGACACUGGCUCGAAAGUUGGAGUUCAAAUAGAAAAAUCAGUCCCUCAGAAGCAGUGUGAACCACCUCUAGGAAAAGAGAAUCAGAAAGAAGGAAAGAAAGGAUAAAGUUACUUUAGAAACAACCAGCAUACCAGAACAAAUGGCACCUAAGGAACAAGUUAAGUCUCUUUCUGCUCCAUUUUUGAACAAGAAAAGAACGCCUGAAGUACUAGAAUCCAGUAGCAAAUCUCCUGGUGAUGACAUACAUUCAAGUCCAGAAACUAAAUGGAAAAAAACUUGUAAAAAAACAUGGAUUGAGGAGGAAAAGGAAGUUUGUGGUGAAAUCUAUGAAAAGGGUAAUGUUGCUACUCCGACAAAAGACAACCUCCACGAAGAUGACUUUAAAGAAUCAAAAAAAAUACUAGAAACAUCUCCUACUUUGGCAAAAAAAUUAAGGGAUUCUGUGGAAAAGGAGAAACAUAAAUGCCCUGUCAGGGUAAGAAUCCUUAAAUCAUUUGCUGGGCAAACGGAACAAGAUCGGCCUUUCCACAAAAAUGUUCCUGUGUUUCCUACCAAUGUGUGCUCACAAAAAAGCACCCUGCAACUUAAGAAUGAUAAUGAGCCAGAAAUUGAAUGUACUUAUGUUGCAAAAAAGCCUGAACUUAUACCUCCAAGAAAAUGUAAGGAGAAAACAAAACGUAAAACAAUCUUGUUUGAAAAUAGUCAUCACAGCGUCAGUAACUCUACAGAUGAGUUAAACCGUUGGAGACCCUCCCUUCCUUAUAGGGAGAAAAUCGCAAAAAUGGACAUAGAUUCCUCAUUAAAACAAUGUACACAAAGAAUUAAAAUUCAAUUUGAAAUAAUACAAGCAAAAUCCCCGACUUUGGAGAAAGAAAAAAUACCACCACAAAAAGAGGUAGAUUCACCUUCUGCCACUCUAUAUUCUAUUUAAUUUUCCUCUUCAUCAAUCAUCCUGUGAAAUUGAUUUUUCACUUCCAAUGCUUGCUAUUUGUACAACAUGUUUUGAAAACUGCCUUAAGGAAAAUACCCAGAAAGCCUUUUUGAUAGUUUUUAUUUUGGUCAUCUAAAUUACCCCACUUUCUAAAUGAGACAUACAAAUUGUAAUAUUAGACUAGAUAGCCAAAAGAACAAGGAUAAGCCUAAAGAUAAUUAAGAAAGAGUCCUAAAAGAAAUAUAAUGAACUCAGAUUCUCUUUUAUGCAAAUCCUUGUAAUAUAUGACAUUUGAAAGAAUUUUGCUUUCUAUGGACAUUUUUAUCUUCUUAACUAAAUGUAAGGUGUUGUGACUUAAAAUACUGAAAAUAUAAGAUAAUUUGGGAAAUUUCUAACAAAUGUAUAUGAUGCAGGUAAUACUUUUAUGGUCAUCUGAUACUUCAUCUUUACUGAUUUUACUAAAAUCAUUACUUUUUUGCAUUUCAAAACAAAGUUAAACACAAUUUUGCUAAUUGAUCAUCUAAAAUCAGUUUUCAUUGGGCAUUAAUAUGCUAUUUCUCCAUUUAUCCCACUAGUAAUAAAUUAUAGGAUUGGUAUUUAAACCUCAAUCUUCUGCCUUCAAGUUCAGUGCUCUUCUUCUUGUAUUUAGUUUUUCAAACUAUGUUUUUAUUCGCUAUAGAUAUUUGCAUAAUUGACUAGCUGUAGAUAUUGUUAUACUAGCACUGUUAAUUCGUUGAAUUUUAUUUUGGGGGGAAGGAGCAUUGACAGUCAUUGAGUCAAGCCCCAUUAUCUUAUGAAUGAGAAAUUUUAGGCUCAGGAAAGUUAGAUUGCAUGGCCAGGGUCUUUUGGCUCCUCUAUACCUUAACAUGCCUGUCUUAUAAUUAUCUUUUCACAAUAAUAGCUGAGCAUAUAAUACAGGAGAGUGUAUACAAAUCCAAAGACACUUAGACUUAGAUUUAAGAGCUUCUUGUAAUACAGACUAGUUAUGUUAACCUGGGCAAAUCCAUUGACCUUACCAGGCAAUUGAUACUAGGAGCAGAGGCUGAUCUGACUUUGUGGAGGGAGUUUCCUCACUUGAAGUUACUCACACUGAUAAACUCACAGGUUCUGUCCAAAAACAAUGAGAAUAAUAUUUGUAUAACUCUCAAAUUACAAAGUCAUCUCAUUUGAUCUUCAUUACUAUUCCUUAUAAAGGGGUGUCACCCAUAUUUGUGGACCAGGCAAAAGAAGCUCAGCCAAUACAAAUGACUUUGAAAAAUGGUCAAUUGGGUUACUUAAUGUAUCUGUGCUUCAGGUUCCUAAUCUACAAAAUGAUAGCAUUACACUAAGAUUUUUUUUCCUAUUUUUUUUUUUUUGUGCUUCUGGGAAUAUGAAAAGGGAAUAGCAUUGAUUUUCCAUAAGGUAGCAGUCACAGUGCCUAAAUCUCACUCUACUCAAUUUCCUAUGUUGUUAAUCCAGUAUUUCAGUGACUACUUCAAGUUUUAUUGUUUGUUUUUUGCUUUGGUUUAUUUUUUUAACUUUACAGUAAGAAAUAAGAAAUGAGAAAUGGAAUGGGAAACCCCUAUCAUGUGGUUGUACAUAAAAUUGGUCUGUCUUUGCAUUGUGGGAACAUGGUAGAAAAGGCCAAAAAUAAAUCAGAUAUUGUAUCUUUACCCUGUCUGCUUUUUAAAGGAGAGAGAGAAGAGAACUUGAAAGUAGAAUGAGAAAACAAAAUGAGAUAGAAAUUGAGCUAUCAUUUUGACAUUUGAGUCGAUAUUUCAACUUUCAAACAAAAUUUAUAAAACUAUGACCAUUUUAUAUCCAAAUAAAAAGUGAAGAUGAUAUAGAGGAUAACAUGUAUUUCAAAAUAAAAUUGAAAAAUGAAAGGCAGUGUGGCAUAUUUCAUAGGAAGCUAAGAAUAUUUAGUUCAAGUCCCAUUUCUGACAUAUGUAGACAAGUCACUUAAUACUUAUAUUCUAGAUUUUCGUAACAUUGGUAGAGGGAAUUUUCUCUUCAGGUAGUUCCUUGUACUAGUUAAACCACAAGUCUAGUUCUUAACCCAAGUAAGUAUGUAAAUAUAUAUGUAUAAAAGUGUGCAUGUAUACACACACACACACACACACA
ensembl:lncRNA